GCUUCUGCAAAGAAGAAAAGCAGCAAAGCAGCAGGUUCUAGUUCAUCUGCAGAUGAACCCAGGUGGCAGAAAACAAAAUGCAAGGGUGACCUGAACAUAAAUUAAUUCAACAAAGCGUUUGGGAGCAGCGUGUUUGCAAAAUUACUGGCUUCUAUUAGGGUUAUGGGUUAACUAAACAUUGCUGGAAACGUACUGCUCUGUCUUGACAAGAGUCAAUAACAGUCUUAGGUAUAUUUUUUAACUGCAUGAGAGCCGUUCUGAAUGUUACAGCUACACUACCUUUGCCUCGAGGAGAAACCAGUGUGCUGUGUCAUAGCGGUCACCGUCUGGUGUCCCGGGACAACACACCCCUGGGUAAAUAUUUCAUAAUAGUAGUAUGGGAAAUGCUGUGCUGGGAUCGAGCUGUGUGUACCUUGGAGACGGUGAUGGGGCUGAGACACGUCUGCCCACCAUUGGUGAAGUUACAGAUGACCUGUAUGGUGUCCGAGGAACAGCCAAGAUUUGGGUCAAUCCAGUAGGUACCUGAAGAAACAGAGUAUUCAGGGAUUAACAAGGACACUUAACCUUUUUGUGAAUGAGAAAAGGAAAGUUUUGAUUUCUGCAUUAUUGGUCCCAGGGAAGGAGACCUGUUUGGGCCAUGUGAAAUGGCCCUAUGGAGGAUGCAGCCUUUGCACACUCAGGGCUUCCUACCAUCAUUCAUCUUCUGUUCACAGUUCAUGAGGUCUCGACAGAUGCGUGCAGGGUUUUCCUUAGUUCCCAGGGGUCUUUUGAUGCUCUGAAUGAGGUUGCUGAGGUAGUGUAGAGUCUUAAAGAUCUCCCCUCCGUGGUCCAGCGUGAGAAGGUCUGGAUGUUGGUAACCCUGGAGAGGAAAGGAGGCAAAGUGAGCUGUGCCUUGGGGGGCACCAGGUGCUGUAACCACAAAGGUUUCAGGUUUUUCUGUGGGAAAACUCAGUGGGCCAAAGACAGGCCAUGCUGGCUGGGAUCCAGCGAGCUACAGCCCUUGCACCAUCCUGAACGGGACAUCUCUGAAGCGCUGGCAGAGUCUGAAUCUUCACAAAAGAGUAACACAACAGAACGACAGCCUUUAGCUGGAUGUCUGCAUGCAUAAACCCCAGUUAUUCCAUGAGAACAGCGACAAACCAGAGCUUUGUGUAUAUAAACUUUAAGCACACAGAAAGAACAAGCAACACUGUGACCGUUCCCGGCCUCCAGCUCCAGCAAAGACCAGUGAGUUCAAAAGUACCCUCGUACCUCUGUCUUGAGCGCGGUGUUCGAGUCGAUUAGCGUCUGGAAGGCUGCCCCAAAGCUGUCUUGUUGCUAGUGUGGGGUGAAAAAGAUGGUAACUGAGACUGUUAGAAGCUGAACAUGCCCUGAUGCAAGCAAAUGCUUCUCGGUCUAGGGCUGCGAUUCAAGCAUUGCUCUGCUAACAUAGCAUUUCUUGCUGGACCUGAGUGUGUGUCUUCAGGGUCCCAGCAGCUCUUUCUGGAUGUCCCAUCAGCACCUUGGCUCUGCGUGACUUAUUAUCAUCAUUAAUAAACGUACAGAAAAUGGCAACUUA